GACGUCGAUAUUCGACGUCAUAAACACGAUCAACUUUGCGGUGUUUAUGACGUCGAUAUUCGAAGUCAUAAAGACGAUCAAUUUUGGUGUUUAUGACGUGGAUAUUCGACGUCAUAAACACGAUAAACUUUGGUGUUUAUGACGUCGAUAUUCGACGUCAUAAACACGAUCAACUUUGGUGUUUAUGACGUCGAUAUUCGACGUCAUAAACACGAUCAACUUUGGUGUUUAUGACGUCGAUAUUCGAAGUC
rnacentral:miRNA from 1 species